rnacentral:rRNA from 1 species
GGAAUUAUGGGCGUAAAAGCGCCAGCCAGGCGUUCUGUGUUAAGUUCAAUUCGAAAUUCCCCGGGUUUAACCUGGGAACUGCAUUUGAAAUUGGCAAGCUUGAGUCUUGUAGAGGGGGGUAGAAUUUCCAGGUGUAGCGGUGAAAUGCGUAAGAGAUCUGGAGGAAUACCGGUGGCGAAAGGCGGCCCCCCUGGACAAAAGACUGACGCUCAGGUGCGAAAGCGUGGGGAGCAAACAGGAUUUAGAUACCCUGGUAGUCCACGCCGUAAACGAUGUCGACUUGGAGGCUGUGCCCUUGAGGCGUGGCUUCCGGAGCUAACGCGUUAAGUCGACCGCCUGGGGAGUACGGCCGCAAGGUUAAAACUCAAAUGAAUUGACGGGGGCCCGCACAAGCGGUGGAGCAUGUGGUUUAAUUCGAUGCAACGCGAAGAACCUUACCUACUCUUGACAUCCACGGAAUUCGGCAGAGAUGCCUUAGUGCCUUCGGGAACCGUGAGACAGGUGCUGCAUGGCUGUCGUCAGCUCGUGUUGUGAAAUGUUGGGUUAAGUCCCGCAACGAGCGCAACCCUUAUCCUUUGUUGCCAGCGAUUCGGUCGGGAACUCAAAGGAGACUGCCGGUGGUAAACCGGAGGAAGGUGGGGAUGACGUCAAGUCAUCAUGGCCCUUACGAGUAGGGCUACACACGUGCUACAAUGGCGCAUACAAAGAGAAGCGACCUCGCGAGAGCAAGCGGACCUCACAAAGUGCGUCGUAGUCCGGAUCGGAGUCUGCAACUCGACUCCGUGAAGUCGGAAUCGCUAGUAAUCGUGGAUCAGAAUGCCACGGUGAAUACGUUCCCGGGCCUUGUACACACCGCCC